AGUGCAAUAGCUGGGUCAAAUGAUUCCAUUCCAAGUUUUCUAAGAAUCUCCAUACUGCUUUCCAGAGUGGUUGCACCAAUUUGCAGUCCCACCAGCAAU
rnacentral:pre_miRNA from 1 species